GCCCGGAUGGGACAGUGGUUACUCCGCAAGUUUGGAGAACUUGUUACGCGCAAGCGUUUCCCAGGUUCAAAUCCUGGUCCGGGCG
rnacentral:tRNA from 1 species